rnacentral:rRNA from 1 species
GAUGAACGCUAGCGGCAGGCUUAAUACAUGCAAGUCGAGGGGCAGCAGCUCUGUAGCAAUACAGAGGCUGGCGACCGGCAAACGGGUGCGGAACACGUACACAACCUUCCUUUAAGUGGGGAAUAGCCCGGGGAAACCCGGAUUAAUACCCGUACAUAUGAGUAGGCAUCACUUUAUUAAUUAUAGCUCAGGCGCUUAAUU